CAGCCGCCACGGUAAUACGAAGGGUGCAAGCGUUACUCGGAAUUACUGGGCGUAAAGCGUGCGUAGGUGGUGGUUUAAGUCCGUUGUGAAAGCCCUGGGCUCAACCUGGGAAUUGCAGUGGAUACUGGGUCACUAGAGUGUGGUAGAGGAUAGUGGAAUUUCCGGUGUAGCAGUGAAAUGCGUAGAGAUCGGAAGGAACAUCUGUGGCGAAGGCGACUAUCUGGGCCAACACUGACACUGAGGCACGAAAGCGUGGGGAGCAAACAGAAUUAGAUACCCCCGUAGUCCCUGUCUCUUAUAC
rnacentral:rRNA from 1 species